UACGAAGGGGGCGAGCGUUGUUCGGAAUUACUGGGCGUAAAGGGCGCGCAGGCGGCCUUAGAAGUCAGAUGUGAAAGCCCCGGGCUCAACCUGGGAAUGGCAUUUGAUACUCUGAGGCUGGAGUACGGGAGAGGAGAGUGGAAUUCCCAGUGUAGAGGUGAAAUUCGUAGAUAUUGGGAAGAACACCGGUGGCGAAAGCGGCUCACUGGACCGCAACUGACGCUGAGGCGCGAAAGCUAGGGGAGCAAACAGG
rnacentral:rRNA from 1 species